CAGAGCAAUGCCGCGUACCAGUUUCGUCUCAAAGAAGCGAAGAAAAAAUACUAAAAAAACGAUUUCGUCGCACGAAACGUAUUCCACUCCUGUUUCGUACCAACCUGCGAUUUGAUACAAGUAGAAUCGAUUCUUACACACAAAUCCAAAAUCUUCUGUGCACCGACUGCAAAGGUUGGAUUGCGCGAGGGUUGAAGAUCCCAAUCAAGAUAUGCCACUUGCUUCGGGACUAUGGUAUCUUAGCACGGCGUUAUCAAGAAGGGACUAUCUUUAUUCGCAAUAACCUUCGAAACUCACUCUAUUCACGGACUAGUAGACAUUUGAGCAACAACCAACCGGUUAGUUAAGGAUUUCGUCAGAAUAAAGCUGCAUUGAUGGGAAGAUAAAUUCGUGAAAUCGAAGAUAUUAUAG
rnacentral:misc_RNA from 1 species